rnacentral:rRNA from 1 species
CGGGUGAGUAACGCGUGAGUAACCUGCCUCAUACAACGGGAUACCUGAGGGAAACUUCAGUUAAUACGGUAUAAGACCACACUGCCGCAUGGCAGAGGGGUAAAAGGAGCAAUCCGGUAUGAGAUGGACUCGCGUCGCAUUAGCUAGUUGGUGAGGUAACGGCCCACCAAGGCGACGAUGCGUAGCCGACCUGAGAGGGUGAUCGGCCACAUUGGGACUGAGAUACGGCCCAGACUCCUACGGAAGGCAGCAG